UUAAGCGACCAAGCGUACACGGUGGAUGCCCUGGCAGUCAGAGGCGAUGAAGGACGUGCUAAUCUGCGAAAAGCGCCGGUAAGGUGAUAUGAACCGUUAUAACCGGCGAUGUCCGAAUGGGGAAACCCAGUGUGACUCGUCACACUAUCAUUAACUGAAUCCAUAGGUUAAUGAGGCGAACCGGGGGAACUGAAACAUCUAAGUACCCCGAGGAAAAGAAAUCAACCGAGAUUCCCCAGUAGCGGCGAGCGAACGGGGAGCAGCCCAGAGCCUGAAUCAGCAUAUGUGUUAGUGGAAGCGUCUGGAAAGGCGCGCGAUACAGGGUGACAGCCCCGUACACAAAAGCGCAUGUGCUGUGAGCUCGAUGAGUAGGGCGGGACACGUGGUAUCCUGUCUGAAUAUGGGGGGACCAUCCUCCAAGGCUAAAUACUCCUGACUGACCGAUAGUGAACCAGUACCGUGAGGGAAAGGCGAAAAGAACCCCGGCGAGGGGAGUGAAACAGAACCUGAAACCGUGUACGUACAAGCAGUGGGAGCCCCACCACUAAGCCAGUGGUGAACUCCACAUACGCAUCCUUUUGCGGAAGAUGCGGUUAACGGAGCGAAAGCGACGUUCAACCUAAAAAGAAGCAGAGGGGGCUUAGUGGUGGGGUGACUGCGUACCUUUUGUAUAAUGGGUCAGCGACUUAUAUUCUGUAGCAAGGUUAACCGAAUAGGGGAGCCGGAGGGAAACCGAGUCUUAAUUGGGCGUUAAGUUGCAGGGUAUAGACCCGAAACCCGGUGAUCUAGCCAUGGGCAGGUUGAAGGUUGGGUAACACUAACUGGAGGACCGAACCGACUAAUGUUGAAAAAUUAGCGGAUGACCUGUGGCUGGGGGUGAAAGGCCAAUCAAACCGGGAGAUAGCUGGUUCUCCCCGAAAGCUAUUUAGGUAGCGCCUCGUGAAUUCAUCUCCGGGGGUAGAGCACUGUUUCGGCCAGGGGGCCCAUCCCGGCUUACCAACCCGAUGCAAACUGCGAAUACCGGAGAAUGUUAUCACGGGAGACACACGGCGGGUGCUAACGUCCGUCGUGAAGAGGGAAACAACCCAGACCGCCAGCUAAGGUCCCAAAGUCAUGGUUAAGUGGGAAACGAUGUGGGAAGGCCCAGACAGCCAGGAUGUUGGCUUAGAAGCAGCCAUCAUUUAAAGAAAGCGUAAUAGCUCACUGGUCGAGUCGGCCUGCGCGGAAGAUGUAACGGGGCUAAACCAUGCACCGAAGCUGCGGCAGCGACACUAAGUGUCGUUGGGUAGGGGAGCGUUCUGUAAGCCUGCGAAGGUGUGUCGUGAGGCAUGCUGGAGGUAUCAGAAGUGCGAAUGCUGACAUAAGUAACGAUAAUGCGGGUGAAAAACCCGCACGCCGGAAGACCAAGGGUUCCUGUCCAACGUUAAUCGGGGCAGGGUGAGUCGACCCCUAAGGCGAGGCCGAAAGGCGUAGUCGAUGGGAAACGGGUUAAUAUUCCCGUACCUGGUGUUACUGCGAAGGGGGGACGGAGAAGGCUAUGUUGGCCGGGCGACGGUUGUCCCGGUUUAAGCGUGUAGGCUGGUUUUCCAGGCAAAUCCGGAAAAUCAAGGCUGAGGCGUGACGACGAGGCACUACGGUGCUGAAGCAACAAAUGCCCUGCUUCCAGGAAAAGCCUCUAAGCCUCAGGUAACAUCAGAUCGUACCCGAAACCGACACAGGUGGUCAGGUAGAGAAUACCAAGGCGCUUGAGAGAACCCGGGUGAAGGAACUAGGCAAAAUGGUGCCGUAACUUCGGGAGAAGGCACGCUGACACGUAGGUGAAGCGGUUUACCCGUGAAGCUGAAGUCAGUCGAAGAUACCAGCUGGCUGCAACUGUUUAUUAAAAACACAGCACUGUGCAAACACGAAAGUGGACGUAUACGGUGUGACGCCUGCCCGGUGCCGGAAGGUUAAUUGAUGGGGUCAGCGCAAGCGAAGCUCCUGAUCGAAGCCCCGGUAAACGGCGGCCGUAACUAUAACGGUCCUAAGGUAGCGAAAUUCCUUGUCGGGUAAGUUCCGACCUGCACGAAUGGCGUAAUGAUGGCCAGGCUGUCUCCACCCGGGACUCAGUGAAAUUGAACUCGCUGUGAAGAUGCAGUGUACCCGCGGCAAGACGGAAAGACCCCGUGAACCUUUACUAUAGCUUGACACUGAACACUGGUCCUUGAUGUGCAGGAUAGGUGGGAGGCUUUGAAGUGUGGACGCCAGUCUGCAUGGAGCCGUCCUUGAAAUACCACCCUUUAAUGGCUGGUGUUCUAACGUAGACCCGUGAACCGGGUUGCGGACAGUGUCUGGUGGGUAGUUUGACUGGGGCGGUCUCCUCCUAAAGCGUAACGGAGGAGCACGAAGGUUGGCUAAUCCUGGUCGGACAUCAGGAGGUUAGUGCAAUGGCAUAAGCCAGCUUGACUGCGAGCGUGACGGCGCGAGCAGGUGCGAAAGCAGGUCAUAGUGAUCCGGUGGUUCUGAAUGGAAGGGCCAUCGCUCAACGGAUAAAAGGUACUCCGGGGAUAACAGGCUGAUACCGCCCAAGAGUUCAUAUCGACGGCGGUGUUUGGCACCUCGAUGUCGGCUCAUCACAUCCUGGGGCUGAAGUAGGUCCCAAGGGUAUGGCUGUUCGCCAUUUAAAGUGGUACGCGAGCUGGGUUUAGAACGUCGUGAGACAGUUCGGUCCCUAUCUGCCGUGGGCGCUGGAGAACUGAGGGGGGGCUGCUCCUAGUACGAGAGGACCGGAGUGGACGCAUCACUGGUGUUCGGGUUGUCAUGCCAAUGGCACUGCCCGGUAGCUAAAUGCGGAAGAGAUAAGUGCUGAAAGCAUCUAAGCACGAAACUUGCCCCGAGAUGAGUUCUCCCUGAGACUUUAGUCUCCUGAAGGAACGUUGAAGACGACGACGUUGAUAGGCCGGGUGUGUAAGCGCAGCGAUGCGUUGAGCUAACCGGUACUAAUGAACCGUGAGGCUUAACCUU
rnacentral:rRNA from 1 species